UAGUAGGUGCUAGCAAUGUCAAAAGUUGGUGUAUGUCGGAUAACAUCAGUGUUUACUAUAAUACUAUUCACAUUAUCUGUUCUUGGAUACUCACAAUAUUACCUAACACCUCUGGAUACGACAAAGUAUCCCAGUGAAGAAAUAACUAUAGCUAUGUUGUAUGUGUUACCAGGGUUACUAGUAUUGCUCUAUUCCCUCCUACUAUCAAACUACAUCCUAUGUAUAAUCAUCAAACCUCAGAUAAUAG